rnacentral:misc_RNA from 1 species
AAAUCGCGUUAGGGAUAGAGGCGGUAUCCUUUUGCAAGCGAAGCGAUGCAAAAGAUUGAGCCGAAAGCCCGGUCUGCU